CUUCGAGUCUGCCGCAUAGAUUUCUGGGAGUUGAGGUCUGGGACCUGUUUGCCCAAGUUAGUGAUAGGGGCCUGCGGAAACAUGAAGAGGAUAAAUAGCUGUGUGAAGAAUGAAGAGCAUGUCCUGGAGGAGUUGGAAACAGAAGGUGAGAGGCAGCUGAAGAGCCUCCUUCAACAUCAACUUGAUACCUCUGUCUCCAUUGAAGAAUGUGUCUCUAAGAAAGAGAGCUUUGCCCCGGGUACCAUGUACAAGCCCUUUGGGAAGGAAGUAGCCGGGACAAUGACUUUAUCCCAGUUUCAGACACUACAUGAAAAAGACCAGGAAACUGCUUCUCUCAGGGAACUAGGGCUCAAUGAAACAGAAAUACUGAUCUGGAAAAGCCAUGUUUCAGGUGAAAAGAGGACGAAGCUGAGGGCAACCCCUGAAGCAAUACAGAAACGGCUUCAAGAUAUUGAAGAAAGGAUCUCAGAGCGCCAGCGCAUCCUUUGCCUGCCACAGAGGUUUUCAAAGAGCAAACAACUGACCAGGCGAGAAAUGGAAAUUGAAAAGUCUUUAUUUCAGGGAACUGAUCGUCACUCCUUCCUUAAGGCUCUUUAUUACCAAGCAUACCACAAAAAGACAAGUGCAGACAAGUACAUGACCUCAAUGAAGAGGAAGAUAAAAUUAGGCACAAAAGAUGAACCCCCAAAGAAGAACAAAGGUGAUCCCAUGAACAACCUGGAAAGUUUUUACCACGAGACUAUAAUGAAAAAGCGUCUUGAAGAGUUCCAACUUAUGAGAGGUGAACCCUUUGCUUCCCACUCACUGGUCUCAGCUACGUCAGUGGGUGAUAGUGGCACAGCUGAGAACCCAUCACUACUCCGGGACAAGGGAAAGCAGGCAGCACAGGGUAAAGGCCCCAGUCUCCAUGUGGCAAAAGUUAUUGAUUUUCCACCUGAGCAGUGUUGGACUGGGCCUAAGAAGCUGACGCAACCAAUAGAAUUUAUCCCUGAAGAUGAGAUCCAGAGAAACCGUUUAUCAGAGGAGGAGAUCCGAAACAUCCCUAUGUUUUCUUCAUAUAACCCAGGGGAACCAAACAAGGUGCUAUACCUGAAGAACCUUAGUCCUCGGGUGAAAGAAAGGGACCUUAUCUCAUUAUUCGCUCGCUUCCAGGAGAAAAAAGGACCUCCCAUUCAGUUCCAAAUGAUGACUGGACGCAUGAGAGGGCAGGCUUUCAUCACCUUUCCCAGGAACUCUUCUGAGAUACACUACUACAACAUGGAAGAACCCUGAGAAUAUGUUCAGUGAAAGAAGCCAGUUACUGCUGAUGGAAAAUUGUAGCAAUCCAUGUAGAUGUAGAUGUAGAUGAAGUAUCCAGAAUUGGUCACAUGCACGCGCACACAAACACACAGAGUGAUAAAGGGUGAGCCGAAGCCACUAAAUCCAAAUCUCUUUAUUACUUACUUUUCUAUUGCUGUGAUAGACACCAUAGCCAAGGCUUUUCCAUCUCAUAUUUUUGGACCUUGUUGACUGCUGAUAACUGUUACCAUGAAAACAAACUACUGAGAAGGGAGAGCAACUGCAUUAAGGCAAGCCUUUUGUUUCCAUAACAACAAAUACCUGAGAUAAACAGUUUAAAGAAAGAUUUAUAGACACAUUUUGGAUGCGUGUGUAUAGUAAAUAAAUAUGCCGAUUCGAGUGUCCACAACAUACAGAUUUAUAAUAUCUACAUAGAGGCAUCUUUUUGGAUGUGUAAACCUAUGUGUCACGGCACUCAUGGAGUGGCAAAAGGAUAACCUUCCAGUGUUGGGCCUUAUCUUUCCCUCUUGUUUCAGACAGGGUCUCUUUGCCACAGCAUUAGUUAGGCUAGGUGGUCUGUGCACUUCAGGUUGUCCUGUCUCUGCCUCUCAUAUUCUUUUAGGGAGAUACCUGUGCUACUGCACCCUUAGAUUCUAGGGGUCCUGGUCGAGGUUAUCAAGCUUGCAGGACAAGCACUUCUCAUCUGCCCAGUUCUAUAAAAGUGUCUUCACUCACCUGACAACAGAAUUCCUAGAGAAACUUUAUAAGCAAUUGGGGUAAGUCAGGUUUUCACAAUGCUUGAUGAAAAACAUUAGAAACAAGAAUAGUCACCAAAGCUAUCUUUUGGAAAUGAAGAAGAGAUAAGACAUUUUCAAACAAAAACUGAAAAAGUAUGCCCACCACACCUGUUCUACAAAAGCUUCAAACUGAGAGAUACUAAUGGGUAAGAAGAAAACAUUGGAAGGUAUAAAAAACUCUGAUAGGAGUGAAUAUCAAAUCCAGAAUGCUCUAAUAUUAUGAGCACAAUGCAUAAAGCAAUCAAUUUUAGGAUGAAUCAAAAGCAAAUGAAUUAAAAUAAUUAUAAUACUUUAUUUAAAAAUAAAGAUGUAAAAUCUUUACAUAUCAAUGAAUAUUUACAUAUCAAUUUAAAAUGUGGUAAAGAGUGCAGUGUUCAUUAUAGUUCACAAGAUCUAAGAGAUGAGAUCAAGUGAGGUAUAUGCUAAUUGAUGGAUAAGGAAAAUAUAGUAAAAGCUGAUGAGAUGGCUCAAUGGAUAAAGCACUUGCUGUACUUGACUUUAAUUCCUAGGACCCAUGACAAAAGAAGUGACCCCCACAAGUUGUCUCUACACAAAUUGUAGCACACAUGUGCUCCCCAUAAAAAUUUUAUAUGCCAAAAUAUGCUAUCUCAUUUCUUUCCUAAUGCUGUGAUAAAACACCAUAACACCAUGACUAAGGGAACUUUUAAAGGAAGCUUUUAGGCUAGAGAAGUAGCUAAGUGUUUAGAAGCACUGGCUGCUCUUCCACAAGCCCUGGGUUCAAUUCCCAGCACUUCCACAGUGGUUCACAACCAUCUGUAACUCUAGUUCCAGGAAAUCUGAUGCCUUCUGGCCACCUUGGACAACAAUCACACAUGUGAUGCAGAAACAUCCAUGCAGGUGAAGCACUCAUACACACAAAAUGAUAAUAAAAGGAUCUUUAAAAUUCAGCAUUAAAUUUGGCUUAUAGCUGCAGAGGGUUAGCAUCCAUGACAGAACAGAGGCAUGGAGACAAGAACAGUUGAGAGCUCACAUCUUGCUCCUCAAAUAGGAGGCAGAAAGGAGGCACACUGGGAAUGGUGCAAGUCUCUGGAAACCUCAAAGCUCUCCCUGAGUGACAUACCUCUUCCAACAAUCCUGUCCAAACAUUUCCACCAUCCUGGGACCAAAUAUUGCAAUGUAUGAGCUCGUAGGGGCCAUGUCCAUUCAAGUUACCACAUAUGCAAUAAAAUAUUAAUAACAUGGAAAUAAUAAAUUUCUGUUAUUUGUGGCAACAUAUAUGGAAGACAUUAAGUCAUUCAAAGAAAAACAAAAUACUUUGCUUUUCUCAUUCAUAUGUGGAAGAGGGAGAGUAGAAUAGCAGCCAUUAGAGGCUUAGUUAUAGAAUACAGAAUAACAGCUAUUAGAGGCUGUUAUAGAAUACAAAGACUUUCAUUAUUUCCCUACCAUCAUUCUUCAGCAUCUAAGUAUCGUGUUAGCAUAUCUUGGGGUUGUAUUCAUCAAAAUGUUUAAUUUAAAAAAGUUAUUUGGUUUGUUUACUUGAGCAUCCUAAAAUAUAAAAUAUUAAAUCUUGGCUUGGAGUUAGUGCAGAACUUCCAACAAUUUCUGAAAUGGCUUUAAACAUAUUUCUCAUGACUUUGCAGUACAUAUGCAAUAAAGUGAUAUUCUCUGCAUUAAUCAAAAUACCAACCUACUCUAAAGAGUACUGAAUAUCUACAUUCUAAAUAUUAAAUAUUCAGACAAUAUUAAAUUCUUUGUGUUCAAACAUCUCAUCAGUUGCAAAUUUCCUUUCACAUGUAAAAAUUGUAAAAUUAUAUGCAUAGCAAAGAAUUGUUUUAAAAUAAAUUAUGAAUUAUGGUCAGUAAGUGUUUGAUUCGUUUAUCUAUUUUAUAUAUCUACAUAUAAACCUCAGGUUUAUAUGAAAAAGAUUGUAAGUGGAAAAAAUAUAAAGAGCCCUAUUUUCUAGCUCAGUAGUGUGACUAGUUUACAAACUACUCUACUUAGUACAAAAUAACAGAGUUGACACUGGAGGUCUACAGGCAGAAAUGUUACUUUUCUUCCUUUAGUUACUGUAUAUUGUAUACAUGUUACAGUAUACCACAUAUUGGAAUAAUUGUAUGUCAAUAAAAAUGUUUUGUGUU